CCUCUGUUGCUCCAUUCUCACAGCAUCUGUGGUCAGUUUUUAGGUACCCGCCUCCUGAUUAAGCUGAACACCUACAAUGGCUUUAAUUUCAACCACUGCACUGGAGCCAUUAACCCUCUUGACCACACUGGAGCAAUGGAAACCCUCAUGCAAAAAGGGUUUCAAAGAGAUUUAAUAAUUAGAAGACAGAAUUUAGUAUCUGCCCAUGGUGAGAAGUGCUUUUCUACUCUGAAGCUUUCAAAUAACUGGGCUGGGUCCAGUUCUCAUUGAAAAAUAGCAAUUUUCUGAUCAGUCUGGGACUCUGUGGUAGAGAAACCAACACAGAGGGCUUCACCAAGCUCCAUGAAAUCCAUGCUGGUGGCCAGACAAUUCAUCCAACAGGCUUGGCUGCGGAACCAACCAACAAGACAUGUUCGCUCUUGAUGUCCAAGGUAGCAGAAUCUGUAGUCAGCCAUCUACACUGGAGAGAGACACUAAAGCCAAAGCACUCAUGCAAGAAGGUGGCCAGUCACAAUGAAAACUUUAGAGGAAAAGCUAAUUGCCAUAUUCAGCAAGCUUCAGUACUUGAUGUUCCCACUCCGUCUCUGGUAUAUGCUGGCUCUCCUCACACACAACUGCAGUCCCUUAACCUCUCUCCCCACAUUUUAUAACAUGCCCCUUACUUGUAACACUGAUAUCAGCCUGCCCUAGAGACCCACCUAGAGACGGGCACUGAACGAUAUUAACUAUAAACAAAAAGUGCAAAAAAGUCAUUGUACUGGAAAAAAGUCUGUAGUUUUUGCAGCCAAAUUUCCAGGACAAGCAUUAAAGCUGUAAAACAACGUGGCACAUUCACACUAAAUGAUUCUAUGCAAUCAAGAUGGUCACAGCUGAUGUGGAUGCAGUGCCAUAAACAUGCAUUUACAAACAUUAAAUAGCCAGACCGCCCACCAAAACCUUUGCCUGGAGUAUCUUUACUAAGCCCCUGUGCAAUCAGGGUGGGGGUUUAUAGCUGAUUUAAAUUAGUGUAAUUUUAAAUGUAUUCUGCCCGUUUCCAAGAAAAAAAAGGGCUAUUUUCUUGUUAAUGAAAGUGACAUGAUUUAAAACUAUUUUAGCACAAAGAUGAAUAGAAGUACCAUGUACACCUUAAAUAUUUGUCCAUUUGUUCAACGAUUCUUUUCUGCCCCACUGGGAUAUUUAUUCUUUGGUGUGUGUCCUCCCAGGAUCCUAUAUUAUUUCCCUUUAACUGGUUUAUUACAGUGGCUCCUGCUAAAGACAACUGCACUUAGGGGUUCACUAGUGCAGUGGUUCUCAACCUGUGGUCCGUUAACUACGUCCAAGAGCUCUGCAAAAGACUUGGCCUGAAAUCUGACUGAACAGAAUUCAACAUACAUUCAGACAAUAGAUUUCCAAAGGGGUCUGCACCUCCAUUUAAAAUUUUGUAGGGGGUCUGCAAAUGAAAAAAGGUUGAGAACCACUGCACUAGUAUGUCCAUUAUAACCUCAGAAGAGACUCAGGCUGACUGCAAGCUGAGAUUUACUAUGGGAAGCCUUGGCCUAAUGGAAUUUUUUCCUCACAAAACUGACGUAUGACAAAGCUCCUUGGGGCAGGAACGAUGUCUUCCUAUGUGUUUGUACAGUGUCUAGCACAAUGGAACAACCAGUCCUCACAGAAUAGUAUCCAGCGGUCACAGUCAGAAACUGGUUAACUUAAAUAUUUUUGUAUUUGCCAGAUAUGAACAGGAGAGCCUUCCCCCACUCUUCACUGUCUAUUAGGAGUCUCUGGAAUCAGUAAAUGCAAACUGGACUGUACCUAGCUGGCCUGAAACACCCCAUCUUGCUAACAGGCAUUGAUUAUAUUGGGGAAUGCACAGUGAGUUCUGCUAACUCACAGAGGGCAUACAAGAUACCAAAGCGCUGGAUGGUGACAUUGAUGAUACACCCGAAUCACAGACUGACUGACUUUUAUGAACAAGAACAAAAUAAAUUAAAGGAAACAGUAGUAACUUCUUCACAGUUUGGAGGAGGAGAACACAGCAAGAAACCUGAAAUCUUAGAAUCCCCAGGAAUAGGAAGUAAAAUAAAGCAAUGAAGAUUCUGGCUAGGAAUAUUUUGAGUUUACAUCAGAAGUUAAGACUGAAGAUUCACGCCAGAAGCAGAGAUCUUACCUGCCAUGGAGAAAUGGUACAAAGCACAUCAGACUCCUUUCUGUCAAUGGGCCAAAUUCUGGUCCCAUCAAAGUCAAUGGCAAGAUUUCCAGUUACUUCAAUGGGACCAGAUUCAGCACAAUUACACUAAAACAAUAGGUCCCAGCCAUUCUCACUCAGUAAUAUCCAGGGAUAAGAAGAUUCUUGUGAAGCUAAUUUAACCCUUGGUAUGGAAGACAUACAUUCCCAGUCAGACUCCCACUCAACCAUGCAAAUUUCACUGCCUAGUCCUCUAGAUCAGAGAUUGCCAAACAUUUUUGCUGAGUCCCCCUUUGUCGAUUCAUGUCCCGUGCUCAUCCCUCCAUAACUGUGAGGAGGGAGAGUAUCAGGGAAGAGGGGGGCUCAGUAGUCACAGGGGAACUGUGGUGGCUGGAUCCCAUGGGGGGGCUGGAGGAGGUCCUGCUGGGCGGAGCAGGGUAUCAUUAUUGCCAGGGUGGAGCCUUUUGCUCCCUGCUCGCAGAAUCCCUGCCGGCCUCCACAGCAGAGGAGGGUAACUGCUGGCUGCUGCAGUGGAGAAGCGAGAUGGGCAGGGAACCUGGUCUUGGCUGCACAGAGCCCCAAAUGCUUCCCCUGUGGAACAGACCCCCCCACACACACACUCUGACCCUGGCCUUUGAGCAUGGCCCCAUCAUGUCCUCGCACCCCCAUUAAUCUUAUGGUGCCCCUCCCCGGGGGACAUGCCUCACAGUUUGGGAAGCUUUGCUCUAGACCUUCUGUCCUUUUCUAGCUAACAUCUGUAAUACUUCAAAUCCACCUUCCCAAACUCCAGGCUCUGUAUCUCCCAUUAUGCUUGUCAAAAAGCUACAUUUUCAAAGACAGCCUUUUCAGUAUGCACUUCAUUGCUCAUUCAUGUGCAACAAUGUGCCAAGGUAACUAGAGAUGGGAGGACUCUUCUGGCCAAAUCUAUCACCCACUUGAAAUGGGUUGUCCCAUCCCCCCACCCCUCCAGAUUUACAACAAUUUGAGGUUCCAGUUCCCCUGGCUGUGGCACAACAUGAGCUCCGGACUGCUGCCUUUUUAAAGCCAACAUAUUCUAUUCCCCAAACAGCCCUAAAAGGCCUGACACGGAUUGUGUUCAAACAACAGCCUGUAGUGUUUGCAUAGUACUAGCUUCCAUUUGGUUACAAAUAUAUAUAUUUCUUAUAUAAAAAUUUCCCUUGAAUGACAAUGGCUUAAAUAAUAAACAUUUUUUGCUAGCUCUAGAGUCUUCCCUUGAUGAUCUUAAAGCGCUUUACAACCAUCAAUGAGUUAUGCCUCACAUCAUGUAUUCCACCCCAAUGAGUAUCAUUAUUUCCAUUUCAAUGAAGGGAAACUCAGGCAUAGAGACUUGCCCAACGACACAUAGCCCAUCAGUAGCAGAGCUGUUCAAAGAGCCCAGAUUUUCUGACUUCAGAUCCCAAGCAUUAGCCACUAUAGAUCAUCCUCUCAUGAAAGAGAGAAUUAAGGGAAAUAUUUUUCUCUGACAAACUUGAAUUACACAAAACCCCAAACUAAAAGCAUAAACAAUUUGAGGUUCCACAAAGCAGCAUUCCUUUGGCUUCUCCUAUUCCCAAAAUAUUUCCACAAGAGCAAGCAAAGCAGUUAGCAGCCCUGAAAAUGGAAAUCAUCUGCGUGUUCUAAUCACACCUCUAAAUUAGUCAGGUACCAUUGUGUGCAAAACAGCAGAUUUUUAUAAAGUUUAACUAAUAGGUUUUCUGGGUGCUAAUUUUUGCUGAUAAUUAAAAUGCAUGACUCAAAGUAUCCAUCUUAUGGCCUAAUUUGCGCUAAGUAAACUGCAUCUUCCAGUUUCAUUUGUUCAUCAGCUUCUGCAGUGGCACAUAAAAGUUAAGGCCCAAAUCCUCCAAAUGGAUCUGUAUGGACAAAUCCCGAUUAAAGUCAAAGGGGUUCCACACAAGUGUAAGGGUCUGUUCUCUUAGUUCAUUUGCAAGAUUGGGGCCACAUUUUUAAAUGAAUUUAUUACUGGUGAAAGUUGUGGCACCGACAGCACUGGAAAGUGAGGUCAUGUGUGUGUCACAGGAUAGAUACAGAACAGGCAGUAGGAGAGAGAGUUUUCACAGUCAAUUUGUUUCAACCCUGGUCUGGAAGGACCAUAUGUGGGGUUACACAUAUCCUGGCUCUAUGCUCAUUCAAUCCACGGUCUCUCUGCUAAGACUUUCGGAAAGACUGCCAAUUAGUUCCAAAAGGAAUUUCCUGCACUGAAUAACUGUCAGAUGGUAACAAAGUUUAGUCACUACCCGUCUUAGUGGGAUUUAAACUAGUGAUCUAGACGUGAAAUUAUCCAUAUUCCAUUUCUAUUUCAUCAUCCAGGCCUUUGAAAACUGAAUUCUAUAGAAGGUGGCUUGAAAAAUUUACCGACCUGACUAGCCAGAAGACUAAACAUACUGACCAGAGAAUGAAAAAUGAUCAGUGGGUGCCCAACAGGGAACUCCAUGGGCAAUAACCUGAUGAGAAGCCCAGAGACUGAUACGAAAGAUAAGUAGGAGCUGCACCUCUAGCUCAACUGCUUGAAUUCUUAUCAGGUUGCUAUCCCUGGAUCCUGGUAGAAGGCUCUAUCUUUUGUAUCAGCCUCUGGCUAGAGAUAUAAAUAAAUGUUGUACAGCCAUCCACCCUUCUCUAGCAGUCUGUGGGAAAAGAGAAGCAGCUCUCUUUUCCCUUCCUGCAACCCCAGAGCCUCAUGGCUACUGGAAGAGUGUGGGGAAGAAUUUGCCCUUCCCCAGCCUUCUGGCAAGGAGGACCAAAAGGAGGAGCUUUAGCUUUCCUGAAAAGCAGCAGCACAAUAUUGACACGAUUCUUGUUUUUUCCACAGCUAUUCACAGAAAACCCAGUGGCAGCAGCGAAACUGCCCAGAGUGGCAUUAAUUUCAUGCUGCUGCUACUCGGCAAAGCUAUGGCCAGCAGUGAAGGGACCAAAGCUUUCUGCAGACUCAAGAAAACGCCUGCAUUGGUUCACAUUUGGAAGGUUAUCUUUGCAACCGUCAAGAACUAGAAACUUAUUUUUUUUCCAUUACAGAAAAACAAUAUUCUGCAGAAAUUGAUGAUCCAUGUUCCUCUCUUGCCAGGGGCACGUAGGCAAGUGGACUUUUAAGCCCUGGUUCUGAAGCUCUAACAGAAAUGUUAAUUACAGAAGUAUUAAUAUAUUGUACAACAGAGCUCUUCUCUAUACAUCCUCAUUUAAAUCAUGGUUGAAAUCACAGUUUGGCAAAGGUGAAGAGUUGCAGUUACACACUGAAAUGCAAAGCCAGGUCCCCAGCCAAUCCAGGAUAUGUCUAUACUAGAAAAAUAUUUCCCUUUUUUCCCCAACAUCAGUGGAGCUGCAACAAAGGUAUGAUUGCCAAUGUACAACGGCCUAAAGUUUUUAUCACUGUGUCAUGAAAAGCUGCUCAAAGGAGCUGCACCCUUGCUGAAAAAUGAGUAGUUUUUUUAUUGUAGGCAAGACAUUUCUAUUCUCCCAUCUUGGCCUCAUUUUCACUAGAAAACUGAACCAUUAGUGAUGAUAAUUUCAGAAACAGCCCCUUCUGACCUGGUUCUCAAAUUGCUAGCAUAGAUAGCUUUCAGCAUGGUUAGAGAAAGCACUAGAGACACCAGGAUCUCCACACACACAAAUACACACACAUACACAUUCAGUAAAUGUACAAAAAGAGUAUUAAUGAUCCCCACUCCCAUACUUUACACCUACCCGAGCUACAAGCUAUAAACUUCACCUCAACGAGGCCUGGGCAAGAAUAUUGGCUCUUUCACAUGCAAUCAGAAAUGGUUGUUUGUACAACGGCAAGUGCUGCACACAUACAAAAAAUUCUUUCACAAGCUUUAUUAUUGUUUAUUUUUUAGACUAGCCUAGGCUAAUAAUAAAAAACAAUUUCAUGGCUCUUGCAGGCCAAUUAAGAGGAGUGAAUCAGCAAGCAAGGAGGUGCUGAUAUGAUCCUAGAUUACUGGGAUCGCCUCUGUUCACAGUAUCAAUACAGUAAAAACCUGUUCAAGAAACUCACAGCCAUGCCAUACGAACAAGGCAUUCACUAUUUCAUUUCAGCCCUUCAUCGCUUAAUCUCGAUGGAUUUGUUGCCAUCGGCUUCGGAGAAAUUUUGCUUGUAUAGCAGUUACUGCACCUUCACCCUUCUCUUCACAGCAAGCUCAGCAGGGAAACUUUCCCACUAUAUAUGUAUAUAAAUAAUUUUAUGUUUUACAGUUGGUAGUAUUUUAAAAGUUCUAUUUUAAACACUUAAAAUUUUGUAGGUAACAAAGGAUUUUCUGAUGCUCUCUAGUGUGAACAGGAUAGUUUGGAUUUUUUUUGGUAAGUUCAAAAGCUAUGACUAAAGCAGCAUAUUCUGUGCAUCCCAUAUCCCCUCUUGCGUUGAUUCUGGAGAAAUCCACACUAACAACCACCUCUCUCCUUUCUUCUGUGGCCACUUUCAAACACACUUAAAUUUUCCGGUCCUAUUUUGUUUGACCUUCACUAGAUUGUUGACUUUUGAUGGUCCUGGGGGUGACUGCUUAGAACAGCUUUCACUGUUUUAUUCUGCCACUUGACAGGUGGUACGGCAUCAAUGUCUAUGUUUUAAAUACAGUAGAACCUCAGAGUUAUGAACACCUCGGGAAUGGAGGCUCUUCAUAACUGAAAUUUUCAUAAC